UCGAGAAUUUUUCGCAAUGGGCGAAAGCCUGACGAAGCGACGCCGUGUGAGCGAAGAAGGCCUUCGGGUUGUAAAGCUCUUUCGCCUGGGAGCAAGAGAGAUUGGCUAAAAACCGAUUGAUUUGAGAGUACUAGGUAAAGAAGCACCGGCUAACUCCGUGCCAGCAGCUGCGGUAAUACGGAGGGUGCAAGCAUUAAUCGGAAUUAUUGGGCGUAAAGGGUGCGUAGGUUGGAAUGAAAGUCAGAUGUGAAAUACCGGGGCUCAACUUCGGAGUGGCAUUUGAAACUUCAUUUCUUGAGGAUUGAUGGGGGGAGCGGAAUUCCACAUGUAGCGGUGAAAUGCGUAGAUAUGUGGAAGAACACCUGUGGCGAAAGCGGCUCUCCAAUUUAUUCCUGACACUGAGGCACGAAAGCAAGGGGAGCAAACAGGAUUAGAUACCCGCGUAGUCC
rnacentral:rRNA from 1 species